UACAGAGGUCUCAAGCGUUGUUCGGAUUCAUUGGGCGUAAAGGGUGCGUAGGCGGCGCGGUAAGUCGGGUGUAAAAGCCCCGGGCUCAACCUGGGAAUUGCAUUCGAGACUGCGUAGCUAGGGUGCGGAAGAGGGAAGCGGAAUUUCCGGUGUAGCGGUGAAAUGCGUAGAUAUCGGAAGGAACACCAGUGGCGAAAGCGGCUUCCUGGUCCAGCACCGACGUUCAGGCACGAAAGCGUGGGGAGCAAACAGG
rnacentral:rRNA from 1 species